rnacentral:rRNA from 1 species
CGGUCUUGUAAAUCUCUGGGUAAAUCCCAUCGCUCAACGGUGGGAAGACUGGAGAGACUGCAAGACUAGGGAUCGGGUGAGGUAAGAGGUACUCCUGGGGUAGGGGUAAAAUCCUGUAAUCCUGGGGAGGACGACCGGUGGCGAAGGCGUCUUACUAGAACGACUCCGACGGUGAGGGACGAAGGCUAGGGGAGCAAACCGGAUUAGAUACCCGGGUAGUCCUAGCUGUAAACGCUGCCCACUUGGUGUUGCCCUUUCGUAGGGAAGGGGCAGUGCCGGAGCGAAGGUGUUAAGUGGGCCGCUUGGGGGA